AAUAGUUUUAUGCCAUAUCAGUAUUCUUAUCCUGAAUUUCAGUAUUUUAAUUUGGAUUUGAUUUUUUUCAGGAUAAAAUCCUGAAAUUCAGGAUAAGAAUACUGAUGUGACAUAAAACUAUU
rnacentral:pre_miRNA from 1 species